rnacentral:lncRNA from 1 species
AAGCCUUUUUCACCCUUUAGCCUAGCAGCGUGUAAACAUGCUGCCAGUGAGAGUGGAGGUUUGGUGAGACAAACAGUAACAAAAACAGACACAGAAGGGUAACCAGGGAAAAAUAACAGCGUGGCAAAAGAAAAUUCAGGAAGGAAGAAAACGAACAAUUCUGCUUGUCCUUUAAGCAGCCUGAAAACCUAAUGUUGCAAACAAGAUGGUUUAGAAAGGGAUGUAUGUCCAAAUUCACGGUGCUAGCUCUCUCUGCCUUGCUUAUCAAGGUGGCGGAUAACUUCCGGGAUCAAGUUGUCCAGCAACCUGAGGAGGGUUAGAAAAAGCCGGGUGUGUCCUGGGCACAGAUGCCGUAAUCCACUCCUACCCCAGGUUGACUGAGCUUGAGCCACUAAUUCCACUUUUCACCCUUGAUUCUCAAUCAACCUCAAUGGGGUUUUCCUUGUUUUUUGUUUUUUUGUUUUUCCCAUCACCAAUCACUUGAAAGAAGCUUGCUUUGGCUGGAGUCUGACAGGCCUGGGCUCCACGGGCCGCAGGUUGGCUCCCUCACAGCUCUCUGUGGUAGAGGAGGAAGGACCAGCUCCCUCCGUGGAGGGGGUGGUGGGGCACAGCACACCCACCGUCUCCGGGGCUGUCUGGGACUGGCCCUCACCACCGGCCGGUGGCGAGGAUUAGGCUUUGGGAAUUUAGACACCAACAGCAGAAACAAUGGCGGCACUCUGCGCGAGCCCACAAACCUGGAUUGAAUCAGGAAACACAUGCAGAGAGAAGCCAAGAAUCUGAAUGUGCAGCCGUUGGCGAGGACAGAGUACCUCAGUUUCAUGAGCUGAUUUUGCCAUUAGGCAGCUGUCACUGGAUGAGAUGCCUGGAACUGCUGCAACCAUCUUGCGACCAACCCAGGGAUGACAUGGACUCCGGGAAGAUCAUCUGGCCCGGAGCAUUGCUGAGAGCAGGCUCCUGGAGGCCAUGCCUGGAGUCUGCCCUACUGUUAGCCGGUUUGCCUUGUGGUCUUCUGCUAUUUGCAGCCAAACUCCCCUUAACUCUCUGCUGCUACACUUAG